AGAACGAACGCUGGCGGCAGGCCUCAAACAUGCAAGUCUAGGGGGUGUAGCAAUACAUCACCGGCGGACGGGUGCGUAACACGUGGGAAUAUACCUUUUGGUUCGGAACAACUGAGGGAAACUUCAGCUAAUACCGAAUGUGUCCUUACGGAGAAAGAUUUAUCGCCAAAGGAUUAGCCCGCGUUCGAUUAGCUAGUUGGUGAGGUAACGGCUCACCAAGGCGACGACGGGUAGCC
rnacentral:rRNA from 1 species